GUUCUCUGUUAGCGCAUGCACCUAAAUUAGAACUAUACAGAAAUUAGCCUGGCCCCUGCCGAAGGAUAACAGGCAAGUUUGUGAUGCAUUCAAUAUUUAA
ensembl:snRNA U6 U6 spliceosomal RNA